ACCACCAAGGCCUCACGCACCUUUGCAGUGAACCGCAAUCGCCCCAUCCGUGUUCUCGCAGAUGUUCAGGAACCUUCGCACGAUGUUGUCACUGGGCGUGCUGCCGUCUAUGAAGAAGAGGUCAUAGUGCUCGAAGCCGGCGUCUGUGAAGCGCUUUGCCUCGUAAAUCUUUUUGUUCAGCCUCACGACUGCAGUCACGUUAUGCUUUUUGAAAUAAGGAAAGUAGGCUUCAGGGGCGUGCAGAGGAUAGCCUGAAGAGAAAACGGAGCUGUAAGCACAAGGCAGGCGUUCCACCUUCCACACCCAGAAGCACAAAAGCCCUUCACAAUAAAGUUCAUGAAUCUCAACAGAGCCUAGGAAGAAAGUGCAUUUCCCAAGAGGUCGAAGCACAUUCCUAAGGCAGCAGCAGUCUGAAUAACUGGAAGAAAAAAAAAAAAAAAAAAAAAACCACCACAGGAGAGGAAAAACCUUUUCUGAGUAUUGGAAAUAGCUCA
rnacentral:lncRNA from 1 species